CAGCAGCCGCGGUAAUACAGAGGGUGCAAGCGUUAAUCGGAAUUACUGGGCGUAAAGCGCGCGUAGGUGGUUUGUUAAGUUGGAUGUGAAAUCCCCGGGCUCAACCUGGAAACUGCAUCCAAAACUGGCAAGCUAGAGUAUGGUAGAGGGUGGUGGAAUUUCCUGUGUAGCGGUGAAAUGCGUAGAUAUAGGAAGGAACACCAGUGGCGAAGGCGACCACCUGGACUGAUACUGACACUGAGGUGCGAAAGCGUGGGGAGCAAACAGGAUUAGAUACCCGCGUAGUCCCUGUCUCUUAUAC
rnacentral:rRNA from 1 species